GCCUAACACAUGCAAGUCGAACGGUAACAGCGGAAGCUUGCUUCCGGCUGACGAGUGGCGGACGGGUGAGUAAUACGUAGGAAUCUGCCCAUGUAGUGGGGGACAACCCGGAGAAAUCCGGGCUAAUACCGCAUACGCCCUUCGGGGGAAAGCGGGGGAUCUUCGGACCUCGCGCUAUUGGAUGAGCCUACGUUCGGAUUACGCUUGUUGGUGAGGUAACGGCUCACCAAGGCUACGAUCCGUAGCUGGUCUGAGAGGACGAUCAGCCACACUGGGACUGAGACACGGCCCAGACUCCUACGGGAGGCAGCAGUGGGGAAUAUUGGACAAUGGGGGCAACCCUGAUCCAGCAAUGCCGCGUGUGUGAAGAAGGCCUGCGGGUUGUAAAGCACUUUC
rnacentral:rRNA from 1 species